rnacentral:rRNA from 1 species
CUUUACCUACGGGAGGCAGCAGUGGGGAAUAUUGCGCAAUGGGGGAAACCCUGAUGCAGCGACGCCGCGUGUGGGAAGACGGUCCUCUGGAUUGUAAACCACUGUCCCCAGGGACGAAAAUGACGGUACCUGGGGAGGAAGCUCCGGCUAACUACGUGCCAGCAGCCGCGGUAACACGUAGGGAGCGAGCGUUGUCCGGAAUUACUGGGUGUAAAGGGAGCGUAGGCGGGGAUGCAAGUUGGGUGUCAAAACUACCGGCUCAACUGGUAGUCGCACUCAAAACUGCAGCUCUUGAGUGAAGUAGG